GUUUUGAUCCUAAACUCACCGCUAUUUUUAAUCAAUUUUAUACAUGCAAGCAUCAACACCCCAGUGAAAAUGCCCAAAACACUAAACGAACAGGAGCCGGUAUCAGGCACACACAAGCCUUAGCCCAUGACACCUUGCUUUGCCACACCUACACAGGUCCUCAGCAGUAAUUAACAUUAGGCCAUAAGCGAAAGCUUGACCUAGACAUGAUUAUCUAGGGCCGGUUAAUUUCGUGCCAGCAACCGCGGUUAUACGAAAAGCCCAAAAUAGCACAACAACGGCGUAAAGAGUGACUAGAUUACCCCCAACCCUAAAAACAAAACACAACUUUAGUAGUAAAAUACCAAAAGCCUAAGAAUACCAUAUUUUAGCCCUGCAGGACCUUUAACUCACAAAAACUAAGAAACAAACUAGGAUUAGAUACCCUAUUAUGCUUAGUUGUAACCUGAUACAGUAUAUACCAACAAUCCGCCAGAGGACUACAAGUGAAAAACUUAAAACUCAAAGGAUUUGGCGGUGCUCCAACAGCCUAGAGGAGCCUGUCCUAUAAUCGAUACUCCACGAUUGACCUCACCAUCUUUUGCCCCUCAGCUUAUAUACCGCCGUCGUCAGCUUAUCCUGUGAAAGACCAUAAAUAAGCAAGAUAGCCAACCGCUAAAACGUCAGGUCAAGGCGUAGCUAAUAAGAUGGCCAGAGAUGGGCUACACUCUCUUCAACAAGAGAAAACGAAAGACAAAAUGAAACGAAUGCCAGAAGGCGGAUUUAGAAGUAAAAUUAAUCAUAAUAUUAAUUUUAAACAAGCCCUGGAGCGCGCACACACCGCCCGUCACCCUCCUCAAAAAAACACAAACAACCAUAUUUAACUAAAAACACCAAGAUGAGGCAAGUCGUAACAUGGUAAGCGUACUGGAAAGUACGCUUGGAAUACAUAA
rnacentral:ncRNA from 1 species